rnacentral:misc_RNA from 1 species
ACAGCAUUCCCAACUGAGAUUUCCUGAAAUCCAAGCCCAAGUAUUCCAUCAAACUUUGCCAAGACAAAUGUAAGACUUCCUUCUCGCGUAACCUCAAUGAAAUCUUGAUCCCUGACAACAAGAUUUCCAACUUCAACACUAUCUUGACUGAAGAAACCAGCAAUUGAUCCAGAUCCAUACUGUAUUUCACAAGUUGUUCCAUUCAUGGUAUAUGUACUGGACUGACUUGAUUUGUACCUAGAAUGGAAAUAGCAGGCAAG